rnacentral:lncRNA from 1 species
UGGGAGGCCGGUCUCCCUUGGUUCUCAUCUCGCCGGGUUCUAAUCUCUCCUGAAGUCUUUUUCACACUAAAGCCCUCAAAGCCAGCUGAAGCACUCGCCCGUGGUUCUGAUUAAACAUUGUUCUGACAAAGGAAAUAUUAUCCUCAAAGCCCUAACACUACAGAUGGGCCCCGUGUCUCUGGGUCCUGCCCCGUAUGCUUGGAGAGGGGUUUGGCGACUCAGCCAUGCCCCAGGGGGAGGCUUGCCGGCCUGCGGGCCCCGCCACCUUCCUGUAAGCGCUGGUCUAGCUGAAUAUCAAGGUCCCCGGAGGGCCAUAUUUGAUGCUGUAACUGCUGGUGUCACUUUACAGUGAAGACAUUCAUUAUGUCCCUUUGCAGAGCAUAUUUGAUGCAGAGGAGGCCGCUGGAGGCCUGAGAGGAGUGAGGAGAAAGUGCAGGUCCCCGAGCAGCCCCUGGGCGCUUCGCCGCCCAGCUGUGGGCAGGUCAGCAAGGCUGAGUCGCAGGGAACAGGAGGGGCCUCUCCAGGAUCCAGGGCCGGGGCCCUUGGAACUCAGCAGUUUCCGGUUUGAUAGGGGAGGGAUCAAUCACACAGAUGUAUAAAAUGUAAUACAGAAUAUUGAAUUGCAGUGAACAAGUCUAAACAACUUUAAAAUGACCUUCCAGGAAGACCUGUGAUACGAUUUCUCCCUGGUUUCCAUGUAUUCCGUACCUACAUUUAAAUGGCGUGAUGAUUUAUUUUAAGUAUCUGUGUGUUUGUAUCUCACACCAUCCCACAUGGAUGUCAUCCCAUAAUCGUCCGAUUUAUCGGCCAAGCGGGACCCCUCCUCCCCCCACAGGCCAGGGUCUGGGUGGGCAGGACCUGGUCUGACUCACAGCACUUGUCAAUGAUGGAUAAGGAUGCAGUGAAGAAACGCAUCAAACGAUGGAUAAGGAUGCAGUGAAGAAACGCAUCAAACGAUGGAUAAGGAUGCAGUGAAGAAACGCAUCAAACGAUGGAUAAGGAUGCAGUGAAGAAACGCAUCAAACGAUGGAUAAGGAUGCAGUGAAGAAACGCAUCAAACGAUGGAUAAGGUUGUGGUGAAGAAACGCAGACACACCCUCGCUCUCUGGAAGUUUCCGUGACUGAGGUUUUGGGACCAACAUUGAUUUUAAAUACAAGGACAGCAGUUUUAAGGACUCAGUGUGGUGAGGACUCAUUGGAAAUAAGAAAACGUUUGCCUACUUUACAGAUUUUUAUGUUCUCUAAAAUAGGUCUGUUUUUAAAAAAGACAUUUUAAAAGGGACAUGUUACAUUCAAUGAGGGAAGAAAAUGGUAAAUGUCAGGGAUAAUUAUUUUGUGCUUGAAAGCAGAAGAAAAUGAAUGAUCCCUGAUUUCCUGAAGCAUUUAAACUAAAACAGAACAGCACCCUGCUCUGUGCUCCCGACACAGGUGGCUAAUCCGGAAUCCUGGUCAACAAAGUCUGCAGCCCUGCAGCCUGCUGUGAUGUUUGCUGAGCAGCAGAGACAGGUGAAGAGUUGCUCUGAGAAUGCCCUGAUCUGCUGCAGCUGUAGGUGAAGGAGCAGCUUAGGAUAGAAAUCAAGAUAAGAGCAACAAACCCAGGCUCCCGCGAGAAGCCAGUGGGUGUCCAACUUGAGGGCGGAGGAAGGCCUGCACUGCCUGGACGAGGACUGACUGCGGCAAAUUCACUCCAGGGCUGGGCGUCCACGUCCAGCCAGAACGCAGAACUUGCCGGGUUGCGCUGCUCACACAGGCCCCGCCGUCCCCGCCGUCCCCGCCGUCCCCGCCGUCCCCGCCGUGAAGGUGCUCAGCUCUGCGUGGCUUGACUGCGGGCCCUCAGGUGUCCUUGUCCAGGGCUCAGCCUCCCCAUCCUCUGCAGCGGGGACAUUCUAAGUGAGUGUCUUGUUUAAAAAAUAAAGGUGGUAAAAACUGGAGUGUGAGAGGUUAACAAGUUGGCUCCUGCUUUACUACGGGGGGUCCCUGGCAGCUCCUCUGUUGAAGGACGCAUGGGGCAUCUGUGCCGCUCUCGUAGGGACGUUUGCAGGGCCUUGUGUGACUGUGUUCACGUCGGCCCCUCUCACCUCUGAGCUCCUCCCCACCGCGCUUGUGAGUGGAGCAGCCCAGGAGACUGUAUGUGGGGUUUUCCAACCACAAAGCAUGGGGGCUUUGGAGUCUGACGUGCUCCUCGGCAUGGCCACAUGUGCCUCUUUCUCCACUCCUGGCCAUCAGCUGCCCUCAAGAAGUCAGCCACCCCUGCAGAUGGACAAUGAGUACCCAAAGCCAGGGAGGAAGGGCUUUGUUGGGGGAGCUUGGCGUAGGCGUCCACUUCGUCAGGGCCUCAGCUCUUUCCUGGUGAUUCCUGUGGGCUGAUGUACCCAUCACGGGGCACAGAGUGGGACGCCUGCCAUGCCGUCCUCCCUGCAAACCACAGCCAACGUCCAGGCCCCGCCUUUCACUCGAAGCUCAGCCCUUGUUCUGGCCGGGGAAUCUGGUGCAUCCUGCUGUGUCCAGGGCCCUUGCUAUGGUCCCUGGAGUGGUCUCAGGGGCUGUGCCACACCGCAGGGGCCUCGGAUGGCCCCCAUGUCUCACUGAGCAGACAACCAAUUUUCAGUAUGCAAGUGACAAGCAAGAAGCGGCGUCACCCCUAAGCCUUGAAUUUCUUUGCCAAGCAGGAAGCGGUGUCACCCCUAAACCUUGAAUUUCUUUGCCAAGCAGGAAGCGGUGUCACCCCUAAACCUUGAAGUUCUCCAGUCCUGGGCGUCCCCACUGCCUCCUUCCGGGUCACGUGUUCACAGAGCUAGGGGAAGACCCAGAGACUCCAACGUAUCCUCCAGGACCUGCAGAUGGGCAGAGGCAGAGGCAAGUCCAGCACCCGUGCCGUGCAGUGGAGACCCAGAGAUCAGGCGAGGUGCCUGCAUCUGUGCUGGCUAUGCCACCGCAGCAGCACUGUCCCCAGACACCUGGAACCGUCCGCGUGCACAGGCUCGUGGCUGCCCUGGCGGAGGUGCCCCAUGCACCCCCUCGUCUGAUGUCAGGGUCUCCUUAAGGCUCCCUCCAGCCCUGUCACUGGAUGGCAAUUGUCUACACUACAGAGUCGGUUUCACAGAUGAAAAUACGAGUUCUCCGAUCGCGUUGGACCGGAGCGGGCCACGUCCGAGCUGCUUGCAGAGGGAAACCAUCGGAAAUAAUGAAUAGCCGCUCCAUGCAAAUUAUUCAGACAGUUUAGCGUCGGUAGCCGCGAGAAAUAUAUAAAGAACACGAGUCAAAUGACAUUAAUAAUUGUUUCUGAAUUCUGUAUUGAUUUCGCGGCAGGCCGCGUUUCUUUCUUUCUCACCUGAAUCGCUAAUAUCACCUUCCUGUAAAUAAUAAGAAACUAGCCACCGGGGUUUCUCGCUAGAAAUGAAUCUCUCAACCCCUUUCCCUCUCCUCCUGCUCCUCCCCUCCCCCACCCUCCUUCCUCCCCUCUCCCACCCUCCCUCCUCCCCACUCCUUGCAGUUUUCUGGUUUUUCCCGAGCAUCCUUCUACUUCCCAUUAUUUAUUGUUUACAAACUACUCGCUCUCUCCAGGUAAUGAGGCCCGGCUGAAGGAGGGGUGUGAGCCCAGCCGGGCCAAGGGCUGGGAUGGGGAGUAGAGACCCCCAGAGGGGAGGCAUUCAGCUGUGGCUUGUCCUUUCCUCACCUAUACUCGGGGACCUGGCCUCGGCGACUGUGAGCACUCCGCCGGCUGAGGGGGAGAGCCAGGGCCCAGGGGCCCAGCCACCUAUGCCCUGCACCUCUGGGCUCUAGUGCAACAGCUCAGCCCACCCAGACCUGAGGCUGGUGCAUUUCCUUCCUUCCAG